GUAGGAGUGAGCCUGCUCGCGAUUGCGGCGUACCAGUCAGCGAAUUAUUCAACUGACCCACCGCAAUCGCGAGCAGGCUCACUCCUAC
rnacentral:misc_RNA from 1 species